UUUUUUGUUUCUCUCUUUU
rnacentral:sRNA from 1 species